AAAUUAUCCAAGUCAAACAAACCAGAUUGCAGGAGGAACAACUUAAUGAAUGUGAUUAUACCAAAUGGUACAAGUGGUAAUGAGAUACAGACACUAGAAACGCCGGUAUGUUACGGGAAGAACUGCACAGCGCUAAUGGGACUACAGUUGUUUUCUAACAGGCUUCCUAUUUGGAGGCCGUCCCAAUGGUGAACACAUGCACACGCAGGCAUCAGGCUGUGGGUCCGUUUGCUUUGCUCCUCGCAGGAAUGCUGGGAAUUGUUUGCUCUGUCUGCUUCAACUUCUGCUCCUUCUAGCCAGCUUAGUUUGGCUUUUUCCGGAUGCGCACGCGCGUGCACACACACACACACACACACACACACACAGUUAUUUUGCCAGUCAAGAAAUGCCCCUGUGUUUUAUGUUGCGCCCUGUAGAGAGCACAGUUUCCUCGUUGCUAUGGUGACCACCUGUAUGUCUUAAUGGUGUCCGAGAGGUUUUGGAUGGGAGCAGAGCUUUUGGAUGUGCGUCUCCGUAUCACGUCUGAGUGUGUUGCUAUUGAAGCCGCAGUGGACAGGAUCUGGGAUCAACGUUUGGGUUUGUCCUGCUGGCGAAUGCAGCGCUGUGGUCGGGUUGGCGAGGCGUAAAAAUUGUGGCGACUUCCUUGAACUGAAUUCAUGUCCCACAUUUGUCUGUUUUACAGACCUUUUACCACAGACUGCUGGCUUUGACGAAGGGUUGAAGACAAUCCGUCGUCUCCAGAACCUUUUUCAUCCGGCUGCCAAACACUCCAACCAUCCACCCAACAUGGGAACGCUGGAGUGCCGACUCAAAGCAGGCUCUGAGUCGCCAGGAUUAACAACCAGACAGAACAAUUCGGAGGUGGUCAUGAGAGAGAGAGAGCGUGUCUGUUCCAGCAGGAAAUCAGCUGAAGUUCAGCAGACAGUGUUGACUGAUAUAUAAUCUUUACUUUGCCCCCGUGUGUUGUGACUGGAAACGCAUGUGAAGUUCUGCCUCUGAGCUGAAAUCAUAAGUCAUCUUGUAGUAGCAUUGGUUUUGUAAUGACAUCAUGUAGCCACAGUCAGGACCCCCACCUGUGAAGUGGCUUCCAAACCGUACAAAAACACCCCCAGAGGGACAAAAAAA
ensembl:lncRNA